rnacentral:rRNA from 1 species
UGGGGAAUAUUGGACAAUGGGCGAAAGCCUGAUCCAGCCAUGCCGCGUGUGUGAAGAAGGUCUUCGGAUUGUAAAGCACUUUAAGUUGGGAGGAAGGGCAGUAAGCGAAUACCUUGCUGUUUUGACGUUACCGACAGAAUAAGCACCGGCUAACUCUGUGCCAGCAGCCGCGGUAAUACAGAGGGUGCAAGCGUUAAUCGGAAUUACUGGGCGUAAAGCGCGCGUAGGUGGUUCGUUAAGUUGAAUGUGAAAGCCCCGGGCUCAACCUGGGAACUGCAUCCAAAACUGGCGAGCUAGAGUAGGGCAGAGGGUGGUGGAAUUUCCUGAGUAGCGGAGAAAUGCGUAGAUAUAGGAAGGAACACCAGUGGCGAAGGCGACCACCUGGGCUCAUACUGACACUGAGGUGCGAAAGCGUGGGGAGCAAACAGG